rnacentral:misc_RNA from 1 species
GUAGGCGAACCUGCGGAAGGAUCAUUACAGAGUUCGUGCCCUUCGGGGUAGACCUCCCACCCUUUGUAUACCUUGCCUUUGUUGCUUUGGCGGGCCGCCUUUUGGCCACCGGCUUUGGUCGGUGCGCGCCCGCCAGAGAACCCAAACCCUGUGUUACUUUGUCGUCCGAGUACUAUAUAAUAGUUAAAACUUUCAACAACGGAUCUCUUGGUUCUGGCAUCGAUGAAGAACGCAGCAUCUGACUGACUGG